AUUCAGCUGACGAGUCCGAACUAGGACGAAACAUGCGUCCUGUAU
rfam:Schistosoma curassoni strain Dakar, Senegal genome assembly, scaffold: SCTD_contig0001161